ensembl:lncRNA
UUUUUUUUUUUUUUUUUGAGACAGAAUUUUGCUCUGUCACCAGGCUGGAGAGCAGUGGCACGAUCUUGGCUCACUGCAAUCUCCACCUCCCGGGUUCAAGCGAUUCUCCUGCCUCAGCCUCCUGAGUAGCUGGGAUUACAGGCACACACCACCACACACAGCUGAUUUUUGUAUUUUGAAUAGAGACAAGGUUUCACCAUGUUGGCCAGGAUGGUCUUGAUCUCUUGACCUCGUGAUCCACCCACCUUGGCCUCCCAAAGUACUGGAAUUACAGGUGUAAGCCACCACACCUGGCCUGGACCUACUUUCUUUAAAAGUAGUGAUAUACCACUGAGCUACAAUCCAUGGGCUGUAUUCUUGGUAAUGUUAGCCUGGGUGUAUGGCUGACCCUCACUUCCACUCCUGAUUAGGAAGCCUCGCCUAGCAGUUGGGUGACUCUGGAGCCCCGUGCUAGAGACAGCAGGCCUAUAUUCAAUUUCCACAGAGGGUAAUGAAGAGGGGAAACCAAACAGACUAUAAUUAGCUAUUGGUUUCUUUCUUAAGAUUUUAUCAAGAUUCCAUUUAAGAAACAGAGUCUUUUUAAACCUAAAUUAGUCCUCAGCGAAACCUAUGAAAAUCUGAAGGCACAGUAAGAAUACCUGGAGCCUAGUAAUUCUCAGCGGUUCCAUUCCAGGUUCUGUUAGGGUGUUUUCAACUACAAUGAAGAGCUCUUUCCAUUAAAUUGAACAGUAAAAGCUUCACACAGUGUUUCUUAAGCAUUCGCUUGCAUUGGAAUCAUCUUGAGUAUUUGUUAAAACACAGAUUGUGAAUCCCCAAACCCAGAGUUUUCAAUUCAGUAGCUCUGGGAUAGGAACUGAGAAUUAGCAUUUGUAACAAAGUUCCUAGGUGCUGCUCAUCAAGAUAAUGUAUCUCUCUACCAUUUUAGGUAACAUCCCUCACAAUUGUAAUUAAGUAAGAUGAUAAUUGGUCAUUUAAUAUUUGUCUUCUCCUUCAGAAUGUAAGUUUCUUGAGGGCAGGAAUUGAGUCCAUCUUGUUCACUACAAUAGCCCCAGUUCCUUCUAUGGUGUCUCAAAUAUUUAUUUGCUAAAUGAAUAAAUGCCGUAAUGUUUAUUACUUUGCUGUCUGCUUACAUCUCUCUUAAAAUCGUAUUUUUCUUAAUAAGAAUAGCAGUUAUAAUAAUAAGAACUAAUGAUCAUUAAGCACUUAAAACAUACUAGAAAUUAUGCAAGUUUUGACAGCCAUAGUCUCAUUUAGUAUCAUAACAAUCUUCUGAAGAUUUUGUAGUACUGUUUCCUAUUUUACAGUUGAAGAAACUGAGAUCCAGGGAAAUGAAGUAACUUGAGACAGGUCCCAUUACUGGUAGGUUACAGAUCCAAGAUUUAACCCAGGCAGUCUGACUCCAGGUUCUUAAGUACUGUAUUACUGUGCUUCCUGUAUACAUCCUAGUGAAAAUUACUAUAUGUUGUCCAUGAUCUGCCCCUGUUUACUUCUCAACUCUUUCCUUCACACUUACACCCAGUGGCCCAGCCAUACCAUGGUGUUGUACCAUGCGGUUUUUACUUUUAAUGUUUUUUCCCUCAUUUUUGGUCUAGAAAACGUCUAUUCCUCUUUUGAGACUCAAACAUCUUGUAACUGCCUAACAGUUUCUCCUUGCCCACUGCCUAGACAGAGUUGAUGUUCUCAAGACAGGGCAAUUGCAAUAGAGA